GUUGUCGUGGCCGAGUGGUUAAGGCGAUAGACUAGAAACGUUUUGGGAUCUUCCCGCGCAGGUUCGAUUCCUGCCGACAUCG
rnacentral:tRNA from 1 species